GUGGGGAAUCUUAGACAAUGGGGGAAACCCUGAUCUAGCCAUGCCGCGUGAGCGAUGAAGGCCUUAGGGUUGUAAAGCUCUUUCAGCUGGGAAGAUAAUGACGGUACCCUCAGAAGAAGCCCCGGCUAACUCCGUGCCAGCAGCCGCGGUAAUACGGAGGGGGCUAGCGUUGUUCGGAAUUACUGGGCGUAAAGCGCACGUAGGCGGACCAGAAAGUCAGGGGUGAAAUCCCGGGGCUCAACCCCGGGACUGCCUUAGAAACUCCUGGUCUUGAGGUCGAGAGAGGUGAGGGGAAGUCCGAGUGUAGAGGUGAAAUUCGUAGAUAUUCGGAGGAACACCAGUGGCGAAGGCGGCUCACUGGCUCGAUACUGACGCUGAGGUGCGAAAGCGUGGGGAGCAAACAGGAUUAGAAACCCGUGUAGUCC
rnacentral:rRNA from 1 species